rnacentral:rRNA from 1 species
AUUGCACGCUGGCGGCAGGCCUAACACAUGCAAGUAGAACGAGUGGCGGACGGGUGAGUAAUGUCUGGGAAACUGCCUGAUGGAGGGGGAUAACUACUGGAAACGGUAGCUAAUACCGCAUACCAUCAGAUGUGCCCAGAUGGGAUGAGCCAGGAGGUGGGGUAAAGGCUCACCAAGGCGACGAUCCCUCGCUGGUCUGAGAGGAUGACCAGCGACACUGGAACUGAGACACGGUUCAGAUGCUUACGUGAGGCAGCAGUGGGGAAUAUUGCACAUAGGGCGCAAGCCUGAGGCAGCCAUGCCGAGUGUAUGAAGAAGGCCUUCGGGUUGUAAAGUACUUUCAGCGGGGAGGCGUUACCCGCAGAAGAGGCACCGGCUAACUCCGUGGCAGCAGCGGCGGUAAUUC